AUUUAAUACGAUCAAAAUGAAAUUAAUGUUCUUCACUGUGUGAGACCCGUGCGGUUUCGCAAGCCUUGCCCAAAGAUGAGCUAUAUAUGCUAACAGUGGGAGAGGAGCGCGAAGAUCCGCAAUCUAUGGAGUCGUAAGCAAGAACGAAUAUAUCUAUUGACGGCGGCGUUCUCUGUGGACAACAAGCGUGGCUUCGUAGGUCUCGCCCAAAGAUGAGCUAUAUGCUAACAGUGGGAAGAGAAACACGAAAACUAUAGGUGUUUUCUGUGAUUGAAAACCCGUAAUCACUAGUUGAUACAGCGAACGGUUAUUGUGAAUUCAAUAUGUUUCAAAUAAAAUCCACGUGAAUUGUAUUCUUGAUAUUUUUAUUUGCCAACUAUAGCUGCCGACGGAUAUCUUUGUUCAGAUACUAAACAUUGUACGACUGCGAAGUUAAAAGAGAAAAGAAUAUACAGAUUUAAAAUUUUACCUCAGAUAUAUGCGGAGUCGAUUCUAUUAUACAAUUCGGUGGUUAAUGGAACUUUGACACUUAUUUCGUUGAACAAUCUUCGGAACACCUAUAAAUUUCGUUCGACGCAAUUAUUCUAGAGACAAUCGAUUUUGAAUGAGACAAUUAUUUAAACUGACAGAAUGAUAAACAUUUUGAUUGACAAGAUGGUAACUCGCUUGUUAAUACUUAUAAAACUUUUACUAACUUGUGUUUUGAUCGAGACAAUUAUUUACGAGACAACUUGACGGAGUGACGGUAUAAACACUUUGAUUCUCGAAUGAUAACUGUCGUUAACGCUUACAAUUUUGAUUGAAACAAUUAUUUAAGAGACUGAUAGAGUGACGGUAUAAACACUUCGAAUAAUAUAAUGGUAACUAAGAACUUUUACUGGUUGUCGACACUUAUAAAUUUUGAUUGAAACAAUUAUUUGAAAAUCAAACUGACAGAGUGACGGUGUAAACACUUUGAAUAAUCAACUGUAACUAAGAAACUUUUUCUAUGUUACUAGGCUUAUUUAUAACUAAAUCCCCCACGGGGCGAUAGUCACAUGACAGUUGGCUCCUGUGAGAAUCGCAAUGCUGCAGUUUUGGGUUUCCGCCAGCGUACGCGAGAGGACGUGGUUUUUUGUGAUCGCUGAUAUCUUGAUUUCUCAUAUUCCUUUUUUUUGUUUUUUUUUUUUUGGUGCUGAUGGGAACAUUCAAAGUACGUGAUAAAAUGUGGAUAUUAUACUGGUUUCGUCUUUUGCUGAAAUUGCGUCUGCGAUGCUUCUGGAACCUUUCCUGCUGAUGCCUGUGGGAAUGUUCAAGGCGCGUGACAAUGUGUCCUUGUUGAAGAUGCGUCUGGGGGCUAAGGAACUUUCCGUGCUGAUGCCAAUGGCAGCGUUUUAGCCACGUGUAUUGUUAUAAGAGGUACCUCUGGAAGCUUCCUUGUAAGUUUUAGUGGAGGCUGGUAAUGGGACUUCUAUUGUUCUGUGGAACUGGUGCACGUGUAGCACGUGUUGUUUUCGUGUCUCCCAUAAAAUAUUUUGUUUAAUAGUAAGUUUAGAUAUAUGUAUUUUCCAUAAAAAUGAUGUGAAGUGAUGCGUGUUUGUGCGUGGUAAUGCGUGGUUUGACGGUUUAGUUCGAUAUUGUAGAUCAAAUAAAUUAUUCUUAGUAUUUAUUUUAUUUAUUUUAAGUUUGUUCGGUAUUUUAGUGGUUCCUUAGGGUAUUUCAUCCAUUUGAUCGUCUUUAUGUUAUGUUGGUUAUGGACAUGGAAGUACCUGCGUUUGUCCAACCUGUACAAGUAUGUAUUAUUUUAGUUAUUUUAACUUUAUCCUCUUUCCUAUGGUGUUUCGUUUGUUUGUCUGCCUGGUCUUGUGUGUAUUGUUUUAGCGCAAAAAGGAGGAGAGAUUCCAAAAAUGUGUGGAUGGCUCGUGAAGACGAUACAGAUGACUGUGCGAAGCCUCACUUCCCUGAGGAGACUUCUGCCGGAGUCCUGGAUGUUCUCCUGUGUCACUGCUCUUCUGGUCUGAGCAAUCUUCUCUGCUGUAUGCUCCCAGUAUAUGGAGAGACUUCGUGAAAUGUGUCUUGACGUUCUGUGUGUUUAUGUUGUUUGACAAUAGUGUCGUGCUUAGGUUAUUCGAUGGUGUAAUUUUAUAAUUUUAUAUUCCGUUGUAUAUAAGAUAUAUUUUGCUCAUUUAAUUAAUAUUUCCAUGUGAUUGUUGCCUCCGAUGUUUAUUGUUUUCCAAUGUAGGUUUUAGUGAUUAUGAUUUUAAUUGGCGAAUACGGAGGUGUCUUCGUCAAAGGUUCCUUAUGCAGAUUGUUCCAGUGCGUACUUUGUUCUAUUUUAUUAUUCUUAAUUCGUCUUGUGUCAUUCAUCUUUUAUUUACUACAUGUGUUGCUUCAGCGCAGAAGGAAGACGGGUUCCAAAAUGUGUGAGUGGUCCCAGAAGGCGUAGUCAACGUGUGAAGUGUUGUGCGCAAGAAGGAAGAAUCGUGUGACAGUUGAUUAUGUUCGAUGUUGAUUUAUAUAUCUCGGAGAUGGAAGGACACUGGAGCCUCCCGUUUGGAACUAUGGGAAAAUCCCGUAAUAUUGUAAUCUAGAUUCUACUAUAGCCGUAAUUAAACAAUUGUCAUUCAUUGUAUUUGUUCGAGACUUGUGAUAUUGGGAUGGGGUUCGAGGCGACACAACUGGUCGCCGAACGUAGCCGCGGUCACGGGGUGGACAUUUUUCCCCGGGAAUGUCAAUAUAAUGGGACACACGUUGUAUUAACAAUCAAACUCCAAGCAGAGAUUGCCUAGCAACGGCGAUUGGAACCUUCUCGAAGCUUCGGGCCAGUAUAUAACAAACGAACGCAGUCG